GUCGAACGAAGCACUUGCAGCAGGCUGGAGAGCUUGCUCAAAGGGAAGCCCUUUUGACUGAGUGGCGGACGGGUGAGUAACGCGUGGAUAACCUGCCUCAUACAGGGGGAUAACAGUUGGAAACGGCUGUUAAUACCGCAUAAGCGCACGAAACCGCAUGGUUUUGUGUGAAAAACUCCGGUGGUAUGAGAUGGGUCCGCGUCUGAUUAGCUAGUUGGCAGGGUAACGGCCUACCAAGGCGACGAUCAGUAGCCGGCCUGAGAGGGUGUACGGCCACAUUGGGACUGAGACACGGCCCAAACUCCUACGGGAGGCAGCAGUGGGGAAUAUUGCACAAUGGGGGAAACCCUGAUGCAGCGACGCCGCGUGGGUGAAGAAGUAUUUCGGUAUGUAAAGCCCUAUCAGCAGGGAAGAAAAUGACGGUACCUGACUAAGAAGCCCCGGCUAACUACGUGCCAGCAGCCGCGGUAAUACGUAGGGGGCAAGCGUUAUCCGGAUUUACUGGGUGUAAAGGGAGCGUAGGUGGCGUGCCAAGUCAGGAGUGAAAACCCAGGGCCCAACCCUGGGACUGCUCUUGAAACUGGCAGGCUUGAGUGCUGGAGAGGUAAGCGGAAUUCCUAGUGUAGCGGUGAAAUGCGUAGAUAUUAGGAGGAACACCAGUGGCGAAGGCGGCUUACUGGACAGUGACUGACACUGAGGCUCGAAAGCGUGGGGAGCAAACAGGAUUAGAUACCCUGGUAGUCCACGCCGUAUACGAUGAAUACUAGGUGUUGGGGUACAGAAGUACCUCG
rnacentral:rRNA from 1 species